GAACGGUUGUAUACUGUCGUGAUACUACACCCGCCGCACUCGCCCCCUUCUAUGUGCGCGAGCUUUGUGUAUGCUCACGUCGCGCUUGCGCUGUGUAACAAGAAGAGCCAGAAGAAAAAAGACGAGAGAGUGCAUUCGAUUUAAUAAAGCAAGGCAAGAGGUUUUGUAUCAAUAUCGUUUCGGUUCGACGAAAUGAAGAAGGCAGCGUAGGCAACAUGUAUUGGAAUAAGAAAACGAUGUGAAGAGCAGAGCAUGUUUUUAUGACGGGACGCCACAGGGAAGACGCCGAGCCCCCGUCAGUUUAUUUGGGGGAAAAUCGUUGGAGUGGUUCAAUUCCCUGAGUAACAGCUUGGAUGUAAAGGGGACAUUACAUUAAGACAUUCCAAAGAUGCCCAAGAGGUGGACCGCAGCAACGCCAUGCAGCUAUCUCCCUGUCGUCUUGUUGGUGCUAGUUCUGCCCAGGUGUAUACUGUCGAUCCGUGCCGACAAAACCAUCAGCAAGGAAGACCAUGUUACCGCUACGGUCAAUGCCACCGUGCUUGACUCCAAAGGCAAUCCAAAGCAAAUUCUAACCAAGGACGAUGGCACGUACGGCCAGAAUUCACCGAAAGUGGACGCGAAAGGAAUCGUGAUUGGACCUGCACCGAAUCAUGGAGUGGUGGACCGCCAGGGCUGCGACCCCCACACUCGCUUCGUGGUGCCCCCCCGGACAGGGCACUGGGUGGCCCUGCUGCAGCGCGGCAACUGCACCUUCAAAGAGAAGAUCCUCAAGGCCUCCGCUUUCAACGCCUCCGCCGUACUCAUCUACAACAACAACUCCAAUGAGGACACCGUCAAGAUGGGCCAUGAAGGUACGGGUGACACUGUGGCGGUGAUGAUCACUGAGUCGUACGGCAAGGAGAUCCUGGGUCUGCUGGAGAGGAACCUGACGGUGCUGGUGAGUGUGGUGGUGGGCCAGCGUGGCCAGGCCAAGAAUAUCAACCGCGGCUCCCUGGUCUUCGUCUCCAUCUCCUUCAUCGUACUCAUGAUCAUCUCCUCUGCCUGGCUCAUCUUCUACUUCAUCCAGAAGAUACGCUUUACGAACGCACGUGACCGCAGCCAGGUAGGACAUAGACGUCGACUUGGAGAUGCAGCUAAGAAAGCCAUCGGGAAGCUGACAACCAGGACGGUGAAGAAAGGGGACAAGGAGACAGACCCAGACUUCAACCACUGCGCUGUGUGCAUCGAGGGUUACCAGCUCAACGACGUGGUCCGCAUCCUGCCCUGCAAACAUGUCUUCCAUAAGCUGUGUGUGGACCCCUGGCUGAACGAGCACUGUACCUGCCCCAUGUGUAAGCUGAACAUCCUCAAAGCUCUGGGUAUCAUGCCCAACCUGCCGUGCGUGGACAACGCUGGUUUUGACAUGGACCACAGGAUAGGGCGCAGCCAGACGAUGGCCAGCCAGCGGACGGCCUUGGUAGACCUGUCCAGUGAGACAUCCAUCAGCCUGGAGCCUCUGCAACGAGGCCCCCUCGGUACCGGACCCCAGAUCCAAUCCGAGAGCGGAGAACUCACCCCCCGCACCGGAGAGAUCAACAUCGCCGUCACCAAGGAGUGGUUUAUAAUCGCCAGCUUCGGCCUUCUCAGCGCUCUCACAUUGUUCUAUAUGAUCAUCAAGGCCACUGCCAGCUUCUCCAGCCCUGACCUGGAGUGGGAGGAGUAAAGACGAUCACGUGGUUGCCCCUCUUAGACCCUUUCUCUGCCGGAGCCUCGUUGCAAUGUUGCCUUCUUGUGCCAUAUAUUUCUGUAUUGUAUUUGUAAGCUUGUACUACUGUACUUUUCUGUAUUGUUAGUAAUUUUGUUGUUGUAAUAGGGCAAAGCGCUUUGAGACAUUAAACCACUGUGGAUCCCUCCUUUUGACUUGUUAUGUGAAUGUGGCCACUUCUUCAACCGGAACUCCCUGUCCCCGCGCAGUGUGGUCUGUGAGAUGGAGCUUCCCGACAUCCAGGCAUCGCUCGACCUCUACGAUGACAACAAGUCGUGAGGGUCGUCGCCGUGGUUUCGACCCACUGUCUAAGGGACGGAUGGCCUUGUACCUUCCUGCACACCGGCAGCCUUUGUGUGGGAGGGGUGACGGGAGGGUGACGGGCAGCUCAACAACUUAGACGACAACCUUGACUAACUUGUGGAACAUCGACAAUGACAUAACAUCAAAGACCUUUUUCCAAUGCAGAAUGUACUAUUAUUAUAGAGGGGAAAUAGUCAUCCUCUCCUUUCUUUUACACUUUCAUUUAGGAAAAAAAAAUUCUCCAGAGAGACUCUUUGAAAUCUGUUUCUAGAUUAGUAAUGGGGAAUUAACCCUUUCUAGUCUUACUUUGCAGUAUCUCUCUGUAUCGUCCAUUUGAAACGAGCUAGAAAAAAAUGAACAACGGGUUUCAGUGUAGCCUACUGUCAGCAUCCUACAAUACAUCUGUAAGCUAUAUAUGAUUAGCAAACCAUUUUAUUUCGCUUUCUUUGGAUCUUUAUUCGUGAAGGCAACAAUAGAAAAGCAACAAUAGAAAAGCAUACUGUUUCUUCCCUGGCGGACCAGUUGGCUCUGUUGUAUUUACUAUGCUGCCUAAAGGACAGUGGAGAGUACAUUCUGACUUGUGGGCUAUGUCCAGACAUACCCUGUCUCUUCCUCUAUAUGGCCAGUGACUGGUGCAAGAAUAAGACCAGUGGAACAAUGGACAUGCAGCUAUGUGAAUUUCUAAACUCUGUGACAGGCAGUGUUUCUUCUCUGUAGCGAAACCAAUGUGUCUCUGUAUAAAAAAAAUUAUAAUAAUGACACUUUAACGUGUAUUUAAAAAAAAAAACGAUGAAAUACCCACAGCGUGUACUAAUCAGCCCCCCAGUGAGGGGGACCUAGUGUGUAUGUGUGUGUAUAUAUAUAUAUAUACACACACACACAAUCUAUAUCUCUAAAGUGGCCUAUAAAGCAGUUUGUUUUCCUUUCUCAAUCUUGUAAAUGCUUGGGUGGAAGGCUUUGUCCUCUGUUCUUGUUGUCCCUUUGUGUUCUAGUCUUUGCAUCUGAUAUUUGGGAUGAUGAUUGAUGUGACGCGGGGAGGGGAGUGUGUCAGUUUCGGGUCACUGUGUUACAUACAGUACUGCCUCACCAUUAAAAGUGUCAUUAUUGCCUCCGA